rnacentral:rRNA from 1 species
GACGAACGCUGGCGGCGUGCCUAACACAUGCAAGUCGAGCGAAUGAAGUUCCUUCGGGAACGGAUUUAGCGGCGGACGGGUGAGUAACACGUGGGCAACCUGCCUCAUAGAGGGGAAUAGCCUUCCGAAAGGGAGAUUAAUACCGCAUAAGAUUGUAGUACCGCAUGGUACAGCAAUUAAAGGAGCGAUCCGCUAUAAAAUGGGCCCCGGGCGCAUUAGCUAGUUGGUGAGGGAACGGCUCACCAAGGCGACGAUGCGUAGCCGACCUGGGAGGGUGAUCGGCCACAUUGGGACUGAGACACGGCCCAGACUCCUACGGGAGGCAGCAUUGGGGAAUAUUGCACAAUGGGGGAAACCCUGAUGCAGCAACGCCGCGUGAGUGAUGACGGCCUUCGGGUUGUAAAGCUCUGUCUUCAGGGACGAUAAUGACGGUACCUGAGGAGGAAGCCACGGCUAACUACGUGCCAGCAGCCGCGGUAACAC